CCCGCCCUCCCUAAAAAAAUAUGCUCGUCGCCUUCAAUCCUCAAAGAAAAUACAGUGGCUGGUCGCAAAUCAAACUCUAUACGCACUAAUUUUGCAAUGAUUUUUGAAUGGCUUUUUUUAUUUUAUGGGUUAUUGCAGACUCAUCAGCCAAAGGCUGCUGUUUUUUAUUGUGGUCUGAAUUGUGGGUGCAGACCUACCUGUGUCAACCGCACUUCUCAGAAAAGAUUGAGAUAUCGGCUUGAGGUUUUUCAUACUCCAAACAAGGGAUACGGUGUGACAUCAUGGCAUUAGAUUACUUCUGGUGCAACUAUAUAUGAAUACAUUGGUCUUUUGAAGAAGACAGAUCAAAUUGACCCUACAACAACAACAACAACAACAAACCCAGUGUGUGGGGUCUGGGGGGGUAAGAUGUACGCAGUCCAUACCUCUACCUCUAAAGAAGUAGAAAGGCUGUUUCCGAUAGACCCCCGGCUCAAGGCACGAGAUACCACACAACACAUAGUAAAGCACGAGAUCAAAUUGACCCUACAACAGAUAACAACUAUAUUUUUGACAUUGAUUGCUUGCAAACAAUAAAAGGGCUUGAUGGGAGCGAGGCAAGUGUCCCUUUAUUUUAUCACCCAGAUUUUCAUUUCUUGUUCUCUUAUGUCAUAUACAUGUUUUCUAGGUUUAGCCGAAGGGCACCUCCAAAACUACUAUUUUCUCCUGGACUUGAUAUAAGAUCUAGUUGUGUACAAAUUAUCCAACUUUUGUACUCUCUGAUAGUUUUAGCUGUUGUAGUUUUCCCAGAGAUCAGGCAUCAUGACAAUAGCGCUAUUCUCCCAUUUGGGCUUUGGUUUCUUUGUUUUGUUUUCUUAUCCACUUUAUUUUCUUUUGUUUUUCUGUGGAGAUGACUGGGUGAGGUUUCUUCACCAGGAAACUGACCAAAGGAUAUUGAGAAGACGUCUGAUAGAGGGCCAGAGUAUUGCAUUGAUGUUGUCUCUUUUGGCAAUGUUUCGAGGUUUAUUAAUCACAAGGCCUAGGUGGUCGGAUAAAGCCAACAAGACAUCUAUAGUAAUAGUAUUAGUUAAUAGAGAAUGUCAAUUUUCUUUUUUCCAUGAAUUAUUUGUGUAAACAAUGACAUGACUAAUGUGUGUGUAUAUAUAUGGUGUUUAUGUGUAUAUAUGAAAGCAAAUAAUGGUAGUUUUAGAGACCAA